UGCMAGUCGAGCGGACUAAAGGGAGCUUGCUCCCAGAGGUUAGCGGCGGACGGGUGAKUWCACGUGGGCAACCUGCCCUGUAGACUGGGAUAACAUCGAGAAAUCGGUGCUAAUACCGGAUAAUCAUUGGAGCUUCAUGGUUCUAAUGUAAAAGAUGGCUCCGGCUAUCACUAUGGGAUGGGCCCGCGGCGCAUUAGCUAGUUGGUAAGGUAAUGGCUUACCAAGGCGACGAUGCGUAGCCGACCUGAGAGGGUGAUCGGCCACACUGGGACUGAGACACGGCCCAGACUCCUACGGGAGGCAGCAGUAGGGAAUCUUCCGCAAUGGACGAAAGUCUGACGGAGCAACGCCGCGUGAGUGAUGAAGGUUUUCGGAUCGUAAAGCUCUGUUGUUAGGGAAGAACAAGUGCCAUUCAAAUAGGGUGGCACCUUGACGGUACCUAACCAGAAAGCCACGGCUAACUACGUGCCAGCAGCCGCGGUAAUACGUAGGUGGCAAGCGUUGUCCGGAAUUAUUGGGCGUAAAGCGCGCGCAGGCGGUCUUUUAAGUCUGAUGUGAAAUCUCGGGGCUCAACCCCGAGCGGUCAUUGGAAACUGGGAGACUUGAGUACAGAAGAGGAGAGUGGAAUUCCACGUGUAGCGGUGAAAUGCGUAGAUAUGUGGAGGAACACCAGUGGCGAAGGCGACUCUCUGGUCUGUAACUGACGCUGAGGCGCGAAAGUGUGGGGAGCAAACAGGAUUAGAUACCCUGGUAGUCCACACCGUAAACGAUGAGUGCUAGGUGUUAGGGGUUUCGAUGCCCUUAGUGCCGAAGUUAACACAUUAAGCACUCCGCCUGGGGAGUACGGCCGCAAGGCUGAAACUCAAAGGAAUUGACGGGGGCCCGCACAAGCAGUGGAGCAUGUGGUUUAAUUUCGAAGCAACGCGAGAACCUUAC
rnacentral:rRNA from 1 species